CCUACGGGUGGCUGCAGUGAGGAAUAUUGGUCAAUGGGCGGGAGCCUGAACCAGCCAAGUCGCGUGAGGGAAGACGGUCCUAUGGAUUGUAAACCUCUUUUGGCGGGGAGUAAUGCCGGGCACGCGUGCCCGGAGGGAGAGUACCCGCAGAAUAAGCAUCGGCUAACUCCGUGCCAGCAGCCGCGGUACUACGGAGGAUGCGAGCGUUAUCGGGAUUUAUUGGGUUUAAAGGGUGCGUAGUGGGAUUUUUAAGUCAGCGGUAAAAUGUCCGGGCUCAAACCGGGCCGGCCGUUGAUACUGGUGAUCUUGAGUGGGCGAGAGGUAUGCGGAAUGCGUGGUGUAGCGGUGAAAUGCAUAGAUAUCACGCAGAACUCCGAUUGCGAAGGCAGCAUACCGGCGCCCGACUGACGCUGAGGCACGAAAGCGUGGGGAUCGAACAGGAUUAGAUACCCUUGUAGUC
rnacentral:rRNA from 1 species